rnacentral:lncRNA from 1 species
UAGAGAAAAGGUGAAAAGGCAGCAGAGUGAGCCAGCUGUCCUCUCUCUCCUCUUUUUCCUGCCCCCGAUGACUUGCAUUUUCUCUGAGACAGCUGUCAUUCUGGUCUCCCAGCCAUUCUUAGCAAGAGACGUGCCUGGCUCCGGGAAGGGGCAACUUCUCUGCAUGUCAGAGGUGGAACCCUGCCUAGAUCAUUUGGACUUAAGAUCAAGGGAAGAAGCUGUGCCCAGUUAAGUAAUGAAGAAAAAGCUCAAGAAGUGUCCUGAACAGCAGCAGCUGUGGGUGGGGAAUGUUGAAUGUCUGGGAGACUGAGAGCUGGUCCAAUUUUUGAAUGAAGACUUCUGUGCUAAAGAGGAUCUAAGGUUUGUUGGAGGAGCAUGGCCCUGGUACAACACUUUGUCCUUUCCCAAGUAGGUCCUUCACAGAGGAUUUAAGCAAUAGAGUAUUUUGUUUUAAAUUCUGAGCUAAUUUAUUUUUUAAAAUUUGUAUUUCAGUAGCUUUAGGGGU